UACAGAGGUGGCAAGCGUUGUUCGGAAUUACUGGGCGUAAAGCGCGCGUAGGCGGCUUUUCAAGUCAGACGUGAAAGCCCCAGGCUUAACCUGGGAAUUGCGUUUGAUACUGUUAAGCUAGAGUGUGGAAGGGGCUACUGGAAUUCCGUGUGUAGCGGGUGAAAAUGCGUAGAUAUACGGGAGGAACACCAGCGGCGAAGGCG
rnacentral:rRNA from 1 species